UACAGAGGGGGCAAGCGUUGUUCGGAAUUACUGGGCGUAAAGGGCGCGUAGGCGGCCCGCUAAGUCGAACGUGAAAUCCCCAGGCUCAACCUGGGAACUGCGUCCGAUACUGGCAGGCUUGAAUCCGGGAGAGGGAUGUGGAAUUCCAGGUGUAGCGGUGAAAUGCGUAGAUAUCUGGAGGAACACCGGUGGCGAAGGCGGCAUCCUGGACCGGCAUUAACGCUGAGGCGCGAAAGCUAGGGGAGCAAACGGG
rnacentral:rRNA from 1 species